rnacentral:rRNA from 1 species
GGGUUGUGAGGUUAAGCGACUAAGCGUACACGGUGGAUGCCCUGGCAGUCAGAGGCGAUGAAGGGCGUACUAAUCUGCGAUAAGCGCCGGUAAGGUGAUAUGAACCGUUAUAACCGGCGAUACCCGAAUGGGGAAACCCAGUGUGAUUCGUCACACUAUCAUUAACUGAAUCCAUAGGUUAAUGAGGCGAACCGGGGGAACUGAAACAUCUAAGUACCCCGAGGAAAAGAAAUCAACCGAGAUUCCCCCAGUAGCGGCGAGCGAACGGGGAGGAGCCCAGAGCCUGAAUCAGCAUGUGUGUUAGUGGAAGCGUCUGGAAAGGCGCGCGAUACAGGGUGACAGCCCCGUACACAAAAGCGCAUGUGCUGUGAGCUCGAUGAGUAGGGCGGGACACGUGGUAUCCUGUCUGAAUAUGGGGGGACCAUCCUCCAAGGCUAAAUACUCCUGACUGACCGAUAGUGAACCAGUACCGUGAGGGAAAGGCGAAAAGAACCCCGGCGAGGGGAGUGAAAAAGAACCUGAAACCGUGUACGUACAAGCAGUGGGAGCCCCACCACCAAAGCAUUUGCUGUACCGCGUUGACGGAGCGAAGCGACGUCAAACCGA